rnacentral:rRNA from 1 species
CCUACGGGUGGCAGCAGUGAGGAAUAUUGGUCAAUGGACGAGAGUCUGAACCAGCCAAGUAGCGUGAAGGAUGACUGCCCUAUGGGUUGUAAACUUCUUUUAUAUGGGAAUAAAAUGUUCCACGUGUGGGAUUUUGUAUGUACCAUAUGAAUAAGGCUCGGCUAACUCCGUGCCAGCAGCCGCGGUAAUACUGAGGAUGCGCGCGUUAUCCGGAUUUAUUGGGGUUAAAGGUAGCGUAGGUGGAUUGUUAAGUCAGUUGUGACAGUUUGCGGCUCAACCGUAAAAUUGCAGUUGAAACUGGCAGUCUUGAGUACAGUAGAGGUGGGCGGAAUUCGUGGUGUAGCGGUGAAAUGCUUAGAUAUCACGAAGAACUCCGAUGGCGAAGGCAGUUCACUGGACUGCAACUGACACUGAGGCUCGAAAGUGUGGGUAUCAAACAGGAUUAGAUACCCCAGUAGUC